rnacentral:misc_RNA from 1 species
AACGCACCUUGCGCUCCUUGGUAUUCCGAGGAGCAUGCCUGUUUGAGUGUCAUUAAAUUCUCAACCUCACCAGUUUUGUAACGAGACUGUGUAAGGCUUGGAUGUGGGGGUUUUUGCAGGCUGCCUCUGUGCGGUCUGCUCCCCUGAAAUGCAUUAGCGAGUUCACUAAGCUCCGUCUAUUGGUGUGAUAAUUAUCUACGCCGUGGAAUGGGUUUAGACUUGCUUCUAACCGUCUGCAAAGACAACUUUUGACAAUUUGACCUCAAAUCAGGUAGGACUACCCGCUGAACUUAA